AACUCUGAACAACGGAUCUCUUGGUUCUGGCAUCGAUGAAGAACGCAGCGAAAUGCGAUAAGUAAUGUGAAUUGCAGAAUUCAGUGAAUCAUCGAAUCUUUGAACGCACAUUGCGCCCGCCAGUAUUCUGGCGGGCAUGCCUGUUCGAGCGUCAUUU
rnacentral:rRNA from 1 species